CGGUAGCUCAAUCGGAUAGAGUGUUUGGCUACGAACCAAAAGGUUGGGGGUUCGAGUCCCUUCCGG
rnacentral:tRNA from 1 species